GAUGAACGCUAGCGGGAGGCCUAAUACAUGCAAGUCGAACGGUAAGGUUCCUUCGGGAAUACACGAGUGGCGGACGGGUGCGUAACGCGUACACAAUUUACCCCUAACAGGAAGAUAGCCCCGGGAAACUGGGAUUAAUAUUCCAUAGUAACAAGAAACGGCAUCGUUUUUUGUUUAAAGCUCAGGCGGUUAGGGAUGGGUGUGCGUCUGAUUAGCUAGUUGGUGAGGUAAUAGCUCACCAAGGCAAUGAUCAGUAGCUGGUCUGAGAGGAUGAUCAGCCACACUGGGACUGAGACACGGCCCAGACUCCUACGGGAGGCAGCAGUAGGGAAUAUUGGACAAUGGGGGAAACCCUGAUCCAGCCAUCCCGCGUGCAGAAAGAAUGCCCUAUGGGUUGUAAACUGCUUUUAUAAGAGAAGAAACAGAGGGAUUUAUCCUUCUUUGACGGUACCUUAUGAAUAAGCACCGGCUAACUCCGUGCCAGCCGCCGCCGUAACAC
rnacentral:rRNA from 1 species